rnacentral:lncRNA from 1 species
AUACACGUUCUCCCAUGCCCUGGCCCAGGAUAAUCCACAUUGCAUUCACUGCUGCCUAGACUCAUCCUAUACAGAGGUGGCCAACUGACAUCUUCAGACCUGAUUAAAACAUCUUUGAGUGCCUCCUGGAGCCAGGACUUUGUAUCCCACACAAAACAAGAAACCCUUCCCCACUCUCCUUCAUUGAACCUGUCCUGUGCAACAGAAAUUACUGGGAAGUUCAGGGCUCUCAGACUUCUGACCCUGGCCACAAUGGACAAAUACAUGAACCUGGAAAAAUAGAAGUUAACAGGAUGGGAGUUGUUAACCAGACAACUGGAGCCUUGAAAACAGAGGUAAG